rnacentral:ncRNA from 1 species
AAAAAGUUUUAUUUUAGUUUGUAAAUUUUAUUUGUUUUAUAAUUACAUGUAAUUAUUGGGUUUAAAUAGUUAGUUAGCAGUAGUUAAUUUUAAAAAUUUUAUUAUUAAGGAUUUUGUUAUAAAUUUUAGUAUCAACAAAUUUUGUGCCAGCAGUUGCGGUUAUACAGUUUGAUGUAUUAAAAUUUAAUUAAUUUAUAUUAAAUAUUCUUCUGUAAAGUUUAUUUUUUAUUUUUAGGUGAAAUUUUAUUAUUAUUAUUAUUUGGUUGUGUUUAUGAGUUUAUGAAAUCUUUAUUAGAGACAAGGAUUAGAUACCCUUUUAUUUUAGAUGUAAAUUUUUAUGGUUGAUUAUUAUUAGUUAUGUUCUUAAAAUUUAAAAAUUUUGGCGGUAUUUUAGGCUAGUUAGAGGAAUCUGUUCUGUUAUUGAUAUUCCACGAUAAAAUUUACUUAAUUAUUGUUUGUAUAUCAUCGUUGUUAAAAAUUUUGUAAAAAAUAAUUUUUAAUUUUUUAAAAAAUAAAAUAAUUCAGAUCAAGGUGCAGUUUUAUUAAGUAGAAAUGGAUUACAUUAAAGGUAUUUUAGGAUUAAUAUAGAAGUUAUAUUAUAAAUAUGGAUUUAAAAGUAAUAUUUUUUUUUAAAAAAAUAUGAUUAUAGGCUCUAAAAUAUGUACAUAUCGCCCGUCGCUUUCAUUUUUAAUUUGAAAUAAGUCGUAACAUAGUAGGUUUACUGGAAGGUGUAUCUAGAAAUAC